rnacentral:rRNA from 1 species
AACGCGAAGAACCUUACCCACCUUUGACAUGUACGGAAUUCGCCAGAGAUGGCUUAGUGCUCGAAAGAGAACCGUAACACAGGUGCUGCAUGGCUGUCGUCAGCUCGUGUCGUGAGAUGUUGGGUUAAGUCCCGCAACGAGCGCAACCCUUGUCAUUAGUUGCUACAUUCAGUUGGGCACUCUAAUGAGACUGCCGGUGACAAACCGGAGGAAGGUGGGGAUGACGUCAAGUCCUCAUGGCCCUUAUAGGUGGGGCUACACACGUCAUACAAUGGCUGGUACAAAGGGUUGCCAACCCGCGAGGGGGAGCUAAUCCCAUAAAACCAGUCGUAGUCCGGAUCGCAGUCUGCAACUCGACUGCGUGAAGUCGGAAUCGCUAGUAAUCGUGGAUCAGAAUGUCACGGUGAAUACGUUCCCGGGCCUUGUACACACCGCUACAGU